AAUAAGUUUAUUUUUUAGUUUUUAGAUAUAAUGUUUUGACUUUUGGACUUAUUUAAAAUUCUUUUGCAACUAAUAUUUUUAUUGUUACUAGAUGAUAAAAUAUAAAUAGUAUUUUAUGCGUGACUAAUUUUUUAAGCUUUUUAUAAAAUUUUCAAAUAAGACGAAUGGUCAAAUCAUUGGGCAUAUAAAUCGAAAAAUGAUGUUAUU
rnacentral:pre_miRNA from 1 species